GCAGUUACAGAAUUGUGACACGUCCAAAUUACAGACAAAUGCUCUUCUCAAAACUUCUCUGCAUUUUGGAAAGCUCUGCAUUUCACCGAGCUUAAGUUGCUAUCUAUGUAUCUAUAUUUCAGACUGCCUCUUUAAGCUAUGUCCCAUGAACCGCUACUCUGCCCAAAAGCAGUUCUGGAAAGCCGCUAAGCCUGGGGCCAACAGCACAACAGACGCAGUGCUACUCAACAAACUGCACCAUGCUGCAGACUUGGAAAAGAAGCA
rnacentral:sRNA from 1 species